rnacentral:misc_RNA from 1 species
AAACGGAUUGCUUAUUGCACCACAUGUGUUUUUUAUUGAACAAAUUUCUUUGGUGGCGGGAGCAAUCCUACCGCCAGAGGUUAUAACUAAACCAAACUUUUUAUUUACAGUCAAACUUGAUUUAUUAUUACAAUAGUCAAAACUUUCAACAACGGAUCUCUUGGUUCUCGCAUCGAUGAAGAACGCAGCGAAAUGCGAUACGUAAUAUGAAUUGCAGAUAUUCGUGAAUCAUCGAAUCUUUGAACGCACAUUGCGCCCUUUGGUAUUCCAAAGGGCAUGCCUGUUUGAGCGUCAUUUCUCCCUCAAACCCCCGGGUUUGGUGUUGAGCAAUACGCUAGGUUUGUUUGAAAGAAUUUACGUGGAAACUUAUUUUAAGCGACUUAGGUUUAUCCAAAACGCUUAUUUUGCUAGUGGCCACCACAAUUUAUUUCAUAACUUUGACCUCAAAUCAGGUAGGACUACCCGCUGAACUUAAGCAUAUCAAUAAGCGGAGGAAAA